rnacentral:rRNA from 1 species
UACGUAGGUGACCAGCGUUGUCCGGAAUUACUGGGCGUAAAGCGUGCGCAGGCGGUUAUUUAAGUCAGGUGUGAAAGCCCCGGGCUCAACCUGGGAAUUGCGAUGGAGACUGCAAGGCUUGAAUCUGGCAGAGGGGGGUAGAAUUCCACGUGUAGCAGUGAAAUGCGUAGAGAUGUGGAGGAACACCGAUGGCGAAGGCAGCCCCCUGGGUCAAGAUUGACGCUCAUGCACGAAAGCGUGGGGAGCAAACAGG